GACGAACGCUGGCGGCGCGCCUAACACAUGCAAGUCGAACGAGCGAGCGAGAGCUUGCUUUCUUGAGCGAGUGGCGAACGGGUGAGUAACGCGUGAGGAACCUGCCUCAAAGAGGGGGACAACAGUUGGAAACGACUGCUAAUACCGCAUAAGCCCACGGUGCCGCAUGGCACAGAGGGAAAAGGAGCAAUCCGCUUUGAGAUGGCCUCGCGUCCGAUUAGCUAGUUGGUGAGGUAACGGCCCACCAAGGCGACGAUCGGUAGCCGGACUGAGAGGUUGAACGGACACAUUGGGACUGAGACACGGCCCAGACUCCUACGGGAGGCAGCAGUGGGGAAUAUUGCACAAUGGGGGAAACCCUGAUGCAGCGACGCCGCGUGGAGGAAGAAGGUCGUCGGAUUGUAAACUCCUGUUGUUGGGGAAGAUAAUGACGGUACCCAACAAGGAAGUGACGGCUAACUACGUG
rnacentral:rRNA from 1 species